ACUUUUCUCUCCGCAUGGAGAGAGAUUGAAAGAUGGCUUCGGCUAUCACUUACAGAUGGACCCGCGGCGCAUUAGCUAGUUGGUGAGGUAACGGCUCACCAAGGCAACGAUGCGUAGCCGACCUGAGAGGGUGAUCGGCCACAUUGGGACUGAGGCACGGACCAAACUCCUACGGGAGGCAGCAGUAGGGAAUCUUCCGCAAUGGACGAAAGUCUGACGGAGCAACGCCGCGUGAGUGAAGAAGGUCUUCGGAUCGUAAAACUCUGUUGUUAGGGAAGAACAAGUAUCGUUCGAAUAGGGCGGUACCUUGACGGUACCUAAACAGAAAGACACGGCUAACUACGUGCCAGCAGCCGCGGUAAUACGUAGGUGGCAAGCGUUGUCCGGAAUUAUUGGGCGUAAAGCGCGCGCAGGCGGUCUUUUAAGUCUGAUGUGAAAGCCCACGGCUCAACCGUGGAGGGUCAUUGGAAACUGGAAGACUUGAGUGCAGAAGA
rnacentral:rRNA from 1 species